GUGCUCGACGACUGCCAAAUAUUAACCCCUUCAGCCCUGCAGCCUCAUCAGUACUGUUCAUCAAAGAGAAAACACACUCAAUCGGAGCAAAACAGACACUUGGCCCGGAAGCGAGCGGAGUGAGGGCUUCUCAGAACCUUUGGUAUAUGCGUGGGAGCUGGAAUACCCAAAAAGGAAAUAUGAACACUUGUGAAAUGCAGAUCGAAUCAAAACGCCACACUUACAGAUAAAGAAAGCAACGCUCAGAAAAGUACAGCCACUUGCUAAAGGUCACAAAGCAAGCAGAUCAGGGCAGAGCGUGAACAAGAGUCACAGUCCUUUGACUCCCUGUCCGAUGUUCCUUGAAGCUCCCUCUCAUUAUUACGACUAUAAAGGAAUUCUGAUUAGGUGCCUCUUAGUCCAUUCCUGAAGCCAAGGUGAAGUAAUUUUAAAACA